rnacentral:rRNA from 1 species
UCCUACGGGGCGCAGCAGUGAGGAAUAUUGGUCAAUGGGCGGGAGCCUGAACCAGCCAAGCCGCGUGAGGGAAGAAGGUACAGCGUAUCGUAAACCUCUUUUGUCAGGGAACAAAGGCGGGGACGUGUCCCCGGAUGAGUGUACCUGAAGAAAAAGCAUCGGCUAACUCCGUGCCAGCAGCCGCGGUAAUACGGAGGAUGCGAGCGUUAUCCGGAUUUAUUGGGUUUAAAGGGUGCGCAGGCGGUCUGUUAAGUCAGCGGUCAAAGCCCGGGGCUCAACCCCGGCCCGCCGUUGAAACUGGCAGU